CAGCUCACCAGUGUCACAGCUGGAGCAGUUGGCAGGCCCACGGUCAACACACACGGCGCAGGUGUGGUCACAGAGGUGGCACUGCCCGCCGGCCUGGUACCUCCCAGCUGGGCACCCAGCCACACACUGGCCCUCGUCCAGAAACCUGGCCAAGUUAAAGAGCUGUUUGUAAACAAGUUGCCACACUGUUGGAUUUUCAUGGCCACAGGCAGUGAUGUAGUCUACGUGAUACGCAGGACUACGCAGUAUACCCACCUAAAAAGCAUCAGAUGGAGAGCAGUUGAUGCAAUCGCUGCCGCUGGGCCCUCUACACUUGUGGCAGGUGGCGGCGCAGGCAUGACAGCUUCCCUUCUCAUCCUGGUACUCUCCUGUCCCCCCCACACACAAAGGACACAACAGAGACACAGCACACCACAGUCAUGUUGAAAUAAAGGCAGACACCAGA